rnacentral:rRNA from 1 species
GCUGGCGGCGUGCCUUAUACAUGCAAGUCGAGCGAACAGAUAAGGAGCUUGCUCCUUUGACGUUAGCGGCGGACGGGUGAGUAACACGUGGAUAACCUACCUAUAAGACUGGGAUAACUUCGGGAAACCGGAGCUAAUACCGGAUAACAUAUUGAACCGCAUGGUUCAAUAGUGAAAGGNGNCUNCGCUGUCACUUAUAGAUGGAUCCGCGCCGUAUUAGCUAGUUGGUAAGGUAACGGCUUACCAAGGCAACGAUACGUAGCCGACCUGAGAGGGUGAUCGGCCACACUGGAACUGAGACACGGUCCAGACUCCUACGGGAGGCAGCAGUAGGGAAUCUUCCGCAAUGGGCGAAAGCCUGACGGAGCAACGCCGCGUGAGUGAUGAAGGUCUUCGGAUCGUAAAACUCUGUUAUCAGGGAAGAACAAAUGUGUAAGUAACUGUGCUA